AACGAACGCUGGCGGCAUGCCUAACACAUGCAAGUCGAACGAGACCUUCGGGUCUAGUGGCGCACGGGUGCGUAACGCGUGGGAACCUGCCCUUAGGUUCGGAAUAACUCCCCGAAAGGGGUGCUAAUACCGGAUAAUGUCUUCGGACCAAAGAUUUAUCGCCUUUGGAUGGGCCGGCGUUGUAUUAGCUAGUUGGUAGGGUAAAAGCCUACCAAGGCGACGAUCCAUAGCUGGUCUGAGAGGAUGAUCAGCCACACUGGGACUGAGACACGGCCCAGACUCCUACGAGAGGCAGCAGUGGGGAAUAUUGGACAAUGGGCGAAAGCCUGAUCCAGCAAUGCCGCGUGAGUGAUGAAGGCCUUAGGGUUGUAAAGCUCUUUUACCCGGGAUGAUAAUGACAGUACCGGGAGAAUAAGCUCCGGCUAACUCCGUG
rnacentral:rRNA from 1 species